AUACUCGUAACGGUGUCGCAGACCGUUCAUUCAUCAGGUGCUCCAAGGACAGGACCAGGGGCAGGACAACGCCACAUUCGUUCUCCCCUAAAAUAUGUGCAUUGCCUUCCGGUUGGGUACUAGGGGCUUCGUGGUGCAGUGGUUAGCACACUCGGCUCACAAUCGAGAGAGCCCGGGUUCGAUUCCCGGGCGGAGUGGAAAAAUUUGGGCGGCUUUUCCGAUACCCCACGCCCCUGUCCACCCAGCAGUGAAUGGGUACCAGGUAUUAAUCGGGGGUUGUGUCCCGUCUCCUGGGGUCUGUUCCCUUCUCCUAUAAUUCCUUCCCCUUCUGUCUCUCUCCGGCAUAUGACCACAGAUGUUGCGCUGACUAAACGAAACUUUCCUUCCUUCCCCUUCUGUCUCUCUCCGGCAUAUGACCACAGAUGUUGCGCCGACUAAACGAAACUUUCCUUCCUUCCCCUUCUGUCUCUCUCCGGCAUAUGACCACAGAUGUUGCGCCGACUAAACGAAACUUUCCUUCCUUCCCCUUCUGUCUCUCUCCGGCAUAUGACCACAGAUGUUGCGCCGACUAAACAAAACUUUCCUUCCUUCCCCUUCUGUCUCUCUCCGGCAUAUGACCACAGAUGUUGCGCCGACUAAACGAAACUUUCCAAACUUUUUCCUACCCCUUCUGUCUCUCUCCGGCAUAUGACCACAGAUGUUGCGCCGACUAAACGAAACUUUCCUUCCUUCCCCGUCUGUCUCUCUCCGGCAUAUGACUACAGAUGUUGCGCCGACUAAACGAAACUUUCCUUCCAUCCCCGUCUGUCUCUCUCCGGCAUAUGACCACAGAUGUUGCGCCCACUAAACGAAACUUUCCUCCCUUCCCCUUCUGUCUCUCUUCGGCAUAUGACCACAGAUGUUGCGCCGACUAAACGAAACUUUUCUUCCUUCCCCUUCUGUCUCUCCGGCAUAUGACCACAGAUGUUGCGCCGACUAAACCAAACUUUCCUUCCUUCCCCUUCUGUCUCUCCGGCAUAUGACCACAGAUGUUGCGCCGACUAAACGAAACUUUCCUUCCUUCCCCUUCUGUCUCUCU